GACUAGGAAUUUCAUUGGCUUGAAGGCACAAGAUCCCAUCUGAUCUUGAAAAUUAAUCAGGGCCAGUUCUGGUUAGUAUUGGGAUGGGAGGCUGCAUAUGAAAACCAGGUGCUGUGGGCU
rnacentral:rRNA from 1 species